CCAGAAGGGUACUGGAGCUCCUG
rnacentral:piRNA from 1 species